GAUGAACGCUGGCGGCGUGCCUAAUACAUGCAAGUCGAGCGAACAGACGAGGAGCUUGCUCCUCUGACGUUAGCGGCGGACGGGUGAGUAACACGUGGAUAACCUACCUAUAAGACUGGGAUAACUUCAGGAAACCUGAGCUAAUACCGGAUAAGAUAUUGAACCGCAUGGUUCAAUAGUGAAAGACGGUUUUGCUGUCACUUAUAGAUGGAUCCGCGCCGCAUUAGCUAGUUGGUAAGGUAACGGCCUACCAAGGCGACGAUGCGUAGCCGACCUGAGAGGGUGAUCGGCCACACUGGAACUGAGACACGGUCCAGACUCCUACGGGAGGCAGCAGUAGGGAAUCUUCCGCAAUGGGCGAAAGCCUGACGGAGCAACGCCGCGUGAGUGAUGAAGGUCUUCGGAUCGUAAAACUCUGUUAUUAGGGAAGAACAAAUGUGUAAGUAACUAUGCACGUUUUGACGGUACCUAAUCAGAAAGCAACGGCUAACUACGUG
rnacentral:rRNA from 1 species